rnacentral:rRNA from 1 species
AACGAACGCUGGCGGCAGGCCUAACACAUGCAAGUCGAGCGCCCCGCAAGGGGAGCGGCGGACGGGUGAGUAACGCGUGGGAACGUGCCCUUUGCUACGGAAUAGCCCCGGGAAACUGGGAGUAAUACCGUAUAAGCCCUACGGGGGAAGGAUUUAUCGGCAAAGGAUCGGCCCGCGUUGGAUUAGGUAGUUGGUGGGGUAAUGGCCUACCAAGCCGACGAUCCAUAGCUGGCUUGAGAGGAUGAUCAGCCACACUGGGACUGAGACACGGCCCAGACUCCUACGGGAGGCAGCAGUGGGGAAUCUUAGACAAUGGGCGCAAGCCUGAUCUAGCCAUGCCGCGUGAGCGAUGAAGGCCUUAGGGUUGUAAAGCUCUUUCGUGGGGGAAGAUAAUGACUGUACCCCAAGAAGAAGCCCCGGCUAACUCCGUGCCAGCCGCCGCGGUAAGAC